GUGACUUGAUUGAAGAUCUUCGCCGUGGAAAUUCCUCUUCAACUCCUCCUCCAAAUUCCUAAUUGGUGAAUCCCAGGCCCUAAUUGUAACUGAAGCUCAUUUGGGAAAGGUAUCAAUUAGCAAACGAGCCAGAUUAUUCAUUUAGGCAUGUUAGGAUGGGGAAUUGAAAUAAGUAAUUCUAUAUUGUAGUAGCAUGCUUUGAGCAGUUUUGAACUUUUGUUUCUCUAUGUAUGAAGGUUGUAGCCCUGUGGCAUACUUGUUUUGUGGUUGAAUGUAAGUGUUUUUGGUGUUAGAAGCUGGGGUUUUGCAUUACCAAUUUUCUGCAGUCUUGGUCUCGCUUGUUGAUAUAUAUGCAUGGUGAUUUUACUCGGGUCAGGUGUUGGCUGAUAUGCGAA
rnacentral:misc_RNA from 1 species